CUGAACCAGCCAAGUAGCGUGAAGGAUGACUGCCCUAUGGGUUGUAAACUUCUUUUAUAAAGGAAUAAAGUCGGGUAUGGAUACCCGUUUGCAUGUACUUUAUGAAUAGGGAUCGGCUAACUCCGUGCCAGCAGCCGCGGUAAUACGGAGGAUCCGAGCGUUAUCCGGAUUUAUUGGGUUUAAAGGGAGCGUAGAUGGAUGUUUAAGUCAGUUGUGAAAGUUUGCGG
rnacentral:rRNA from 1 species